rnacentral:rRNA from 1 species
GAUGAACGCUGGCGGCGUGCCUAAUACAUGCAAGUCGAGCGAACAGACGAGGAGCUUGCUCCUCUGACGUUAGCGGCGGACGGGUGAGUAACACGUGGAUAACCUACCUAUAAGACUGGGAUAACUUCGGGAAACCGGAGCUAAUACCGGAUAAUAUAUUGAACCGCAUGGUUCAAUAGUGAAAGACGGUUUUGCUGUCACUUAUAGAUGGAUCCGCGCCGCAUUAGCUAGUUGGUAAGGUAACGGCUUACCAAGGCAACGAUGCGUAGCCGACCUGAGAGGCGGAGAGCCCACAUUGGAACUGCGAACCGGCCCAGACUCCGACGGGAGGCAGAAGGGGGAAAGUUUCGCAAAGGGGGGAAAGCUGGACGGAGCACCGCCGGGGGGGGAAAAAAGGUUUUCGGGUGUAAAACCUUUUUUAUUGGGAAAGAAAAAUUGUAAAAUAAACUAUACAUUUUUUGACGGUACCAAAUAAAAAAGCCCGGGCAAGCUACGUG